ANGAUUCCCUCAGUAACGGCGAGCGAAGUGGGAACAGCUCGAGCCUGAAAUCCCUGGNAGGUGCUGUCAGGGAGUUGUGGCCGGGAGAGGCAACUGGGCGCUGGUCGGCGCUGUCGAAGUUGACCUGGAAAGGCGCGUCACAGAGGGUGAGAGCCCCGUACGCGGCACCGUCGACCAGAGCCGUCAUUGCCUUCGGAGAGUCGGGUUGUUUGGGAAUGCAGCCCAAAGUGGGUGGUAAACUCCAUCUAAAGCUAAAUACUGGCGCGAGACCGAUAGCAAACAAGUACCGUGAGGGAAAGGUGAAAAGAACUUUGAAG
rnacentral:rRNA from 1 species